GACGAACGCUGGCGGCGUGCUUAACACAUGCAAGUCGAGCGGUAAGGCCCUUUCGGGGGUACACGAGCGGCGAACGGGUGAGUAACACGUGGGUGACCUGCCCUUAGCUCUGGGAUAAGCCUGGGAAACUGGGUCUAAUACCGGAUAUGACUCCAUGACGCAUGUUGUGGGGUGGAAAGCCUUGUGCGGCUAGGGAUGGGCCCGCGGCCUAUCAGCUUGUUGGUGGGGUGAUGGCCUACCAAGGCGACGACGGGUAGCCGGCCUGAGAGGGCGACCGGCCACACUGGGACUGAGACACGGCCCAGACUCCUACGGGAGGCAGCAGUGGGGAAUAUUGCGCAAUGGGCGAAAGCCUGACGCAGCGACGCCGCGUGUGGGAUGAAGGUCUUCGGUA
rnacentral:rRNA from 1 species